CCUACGGGUGGCUGCAGUGGGGAAUAUUGGACAAUGGGGGGAACCCUGAUCCAGCCAUGCCGCGUGUGUGAAGAAGGCCCUCGGGUUGUAAAGCACUUUCAGUGAGGAAGAACGCCUGGUGGUUAAUACCCAUCAGGAAAGACAUCACUCACAGAAGAAGCACCGGCUAACUCCGUGCCAGCAGCCGCGGUAAUACGGAGGGUGCGAGCGUUAAUCGGAAUUACUGGGCGUAAAGCGCGCGUAGGUGGCUUGAUAAGCCGGUUGUGAAAGCCCCGGGCUCAACCUGGGAACGGCAUCCGGAACUGUCAAGCUAGAGUGCAGGAGAGGAAGGUAGAAUUCCAGGUGUAGCGGUGAAAUGCGUAGAGAUCGGGAGGAAUACCAGUGGCGAAGGCGGCCUUCUGGACUGACACUGACACUGAGGUGCGAAAGCGUGGGUAGCAAACAGGAUUAGAUACCCUUGUAGUC
rnacentral:rRNA from 1 species